ACGGGAGGCAGCAGUGAGGAAUAUUGGUCAAUGGACGGAAGUCUGAACCAGCCAAGUCGCGUGAAGGAAGACGGUUCUAUGGAUUGUAAACUUCUUUUGCUCGAGGGUAAAGUGAGCCACGUGUGGCUUAUUGCAAGUAUCGAGUGAAUAAGCAUCGGCUAACUCCGUGCCAGCAGCCGCGGUAAUACGGAGGAUGCGAGCGUUAUCCGGAUUUAUUGGGUUUAAAGGGUGCGCAGGCGGGAUGUCAAGUCAGUGGCGAAAUGGUGCGGCUCAACCGUAGCAUUGCCGUUGAAACUGGCGUCCUUGAGUGCGAAUGAGGUACGCGGAACGUGUCAUGUAGCGGUGAAAUGCAUAGAUAUGACACAGAACACCGAUUGCGAAGGCAGCGUACUGGGACGCGACUGACGCUGAGGCACGAAAGUGCGGGGAUCGAACAGGAUUAGAUACCCUGGUA
rnacentral:rRNA from 1 species